rnacentral:misc_RNA from 1 species
CUCAAGGCAACCAUCCUGGAAGGAAAUUAUUCAUGCUUGGCCCAGCAGUGACCACUGUUAUGGGAUCUGGCUGAUACCCAAUUUGUAAGGUGGGUUCACAAUCUAGAGGAUGGAAGAAGGCAUCACCAGAAGGCUGAGCUUGCUGUCUUCCAUACAUCAUAUCAUCAGCACUUUGGUUCAAUUGAAGAGCAUUUACUUGAUACCCUUCUACUAACCUUUGUUUCAGAGUCUUGUUUGCUUCAUUAAGAAGAUGCUCCUUACGUUGAAGAUCAGUGAGCUGAUCCAGCAUGUACUGAGUCCUUGUUGAUCUGAUCUGCUUCAGUGACAUAUCAAGUUGCCUUUCAAGAGAUUCAAGUUCUUUGCUACUCAAUGGGCCAAGGUCUUCUCCCAACAGGUUCCUUUGGGAUCGUUGAAGAGCUUCAUAGCGAGCUUUGAGCUUCAAAUACUCUUGCUGGCUGCUCAAUUCCAAGGCCUCUCUUGUGGAGACAUUAGGCUCUGGUGCUCCAUAGUUGCAUUUCUGGUAUCUCUCUAAGGUUUUGAGCAUGCUUGAACUACUGCAAAACUCGUACAGUUUUCCUCUAUUAGAGAAGAUGAUGAGAGCAACUUCAGCAUCGCAAAGAACCGAAAGUUCAUAAGCUUUCUUCAAAAGCCCA